rnacentral:rRNA from 3 species
UACGGGGGGGGCAAGCGUUGUUCGGAAUUACUGGGCGUAAAGGGCUCGUAGGCGGCCAACUAAGUCAGACGUGAAAUCCCUCGGCUUAACCGGGGAACUGCGUCUGAUACUGGUUGGCUUGAAUCCGGGAGAGGGAUGUGGAAUUCCAGGUGUAGCGGUGAAAUGCGUAGAUAUCUGGAGGAACACCGGUGGCGAAGGCGGCAUCCUGGACCGGUAUUGACGCUGAGGAGCGAAAGCCAGGGGAGCAAACGGG